UCAUUCUUCAUAUCGUUCCCAAUUUCUUCCCUCGAGAACACACACAGCGCCGUUCGUCCCUAAUUUCUUCAUUCUUCAUUCUCAUUCUUCAUCGUUCCCAAAUUUCUUCCCAAUUUCUUCCCAAAUCGCCAUCGUCCCUAAAGCGCCAUCGUCCCAAUUUCUUCAAUCAUUCUCCAAACCCUAGACGGCGACCCCUUUAUCAUUCUCCAAAUUUGCUUCAAUCUGCGGUGACAAGCUUCAAUCUGCGGUUACCAGUGGAGUUGGGUUGCUUCUGCUCGAUUUGUUUGGAUAGAAAGAGUUGGGAUGGUGUUUAGUUCCUCAAGGUGCUUUUUUUCACACUUUUUGUCUUUUAUUUUCAUUCAAAUUCAAUUCUUUAUGCCUCUUCCAUUAUUGCGUUUGUGUCAACUGCUGUAGGUUAUUUAUAGGAUAAAUAUAUCAACUUGUUUGCAAUUUGAACUUUUUGAAUUCAAUUGUAUUCAUAAUUAACCAACCCCGUUUGGUUUUUGUUCAAUUUUGCACUGUAGAAAUAGAAGGGUAAGAAGUUUAACAUUACCUCAGCAUUCCAUUACUGAAUAUAGAGAAACUCAUUCUGAAUUUGUGUUAUCAAUAGUAGAUUGCGAAAAAUAGAGGUAUCCCAAAAAUCCAUAUCAGAUAGGGUUGCAUGAAGAUAACAGAUGCUGCAUAGCAAUGAAAAUGAGUGUAAUGAUCUGAAGCAAAGACACUCCUCAGAUUAGGUGUGUCCCGGUGUCGGACACGCGUUGGUGUCGGACACCGACACACACCGACACUUAUAAUUAUAUUAAAUUGUGUCAUUUUCUCAGAUUAUUAUUGGUGUCGACGUGUCAGUUUUCGUGUCUGUGUCCGUGCUUCAUACUAAUGAAUAAGGGAAUGGCUGCAUAAUAUAGAUAAUGUAUUGAAAGGUUUAUGUAGUAUGGUAAAUAUAAGAGUAACACUCACUCUUCAGUUUUUACUUUAGGUCAUGUUUGUUACACAUGCAAAUUCUUUAGUUUUGUUAUUUAAAAAUAAUCAUAAAAUUCUAUUUUUCUGCUAGUGCCUCUAGGACAAUGUUGCAGUUUUCAUACCAGAUUUUGAAAAUUUUAUAACAUUGCAAAACCCUUAUAAACCUUAACAGUUUCUCUCCAAAUUAGAUCCUUGAUAUCUUGUUCAGUGAAAGAUGGUUUCUCAAAAUCAAAAUUGAAAGGUAUAGAGCAAACAGGUUCCUCAUUAUUUUAUUGCUAGUCUUUCACUAUGUUUGAAUAUUAACUCCAGGCCUUAGUUCAUGCUUACAUUGUUGUGCUACUGCUAAAACUGUGCUAAAAUAUUUUAAAUUGUGCUAAAACUGUGCUAAAGCUGGGUUUGCUAACACGUGUCCUCUGAGUCACCUCCAGCUCUUCUGGCUUUCUCUGGCUGGAGCCAAAAACUCACUGUCAAUUCAACAGGACUUGUAGCUUUAUCUGGCUUAAGCCAGAAACUCUCUGCCAAUUCAAUAGGAUUUUUGGCUUUCUCUGGCUUAAGCCAGAAACUCUCUGCCAAUUGAACAAAAUUUCUGGCUUAUCACGUCUCUGCCAAUAGGAUUCAAUAGGAUUUUUGCACUUAUCACGUCUCGUCCAAGCUGAGCAGACUCCACACGAGCUGGGAAUUGAGGAUGGUGAUGAAAUGCUUGUUAUGCUUCAUCUGAGAAGACAUGUUUAGUGGAAAAUUAUAAUGAAAAGCUUGCCAUGCUUCAUUGUAAAUGGAACUGGUUUAACUUUGGACUAGGCAAAUUAAUGCAUAAUAUUUGUACCUUCUAUUUUCUAGUAAUAUUAUGGUGCAGUUGCAGCUGCUGGACUUUGCA